AUUGAACGCUGGCGGCAUGCCUUACACAUGCAAGUCGAACGGUAACAGGUCUUCGGAUGCUGACGAGUGGCGAACGGGUGAGUAAUACAUCGGAACGUGCCUGGUAGUGGGGGAUAACUACUCGAAAGAGUGGCUAAUACCGCAUGAGAUCUACGGAUGAAAGCAGGGGAUCGCAAGACCUUGUGCUACUAGAGCGGCCGAUGGCAGAUUAGGUAGUUGGUGGGAUAAAAGCUUACCAAGCCGACAAUCUGUAGCUGGUCUGAGAGGACGAUCAGCCACACUGGGACUGAGACACGGCCCAGACUCCUACGGGAGGCAGCAGUGGGGAAUUUUGGACAAUGGGCGCAAGCCUGAUCCAGCAAUGCCGCGUGCAGGAUGAAGGCCUUCGGGUUGUAAACUGCUUUUGUACGGAACGAAAAGCCCUGGGUUAAUACCCUGGGGUCAUGACGGUACCGUAAGAAUAAGCACCGGCUAACUACGUGCCAGCCGCCGCGGUAAUAC
rnacentral:rRNA from 1 species